CACGGAGGGUGCAAGCGUUAAUCGGAAUCACUGGGCGUAAAGCGCACGUAGGCGGUCUUGUAAGUCAGACGUGAAAGCCCUCGGCUCAACCGGGGAACUGCGUUUGAUACUGCUUGACUUGAGUAUCGGAGAGGGUGGCGGAAUUCCAGGUGUAGGAGUGAAAUCCGUAGAUAUCUGGAGGAACACCGGCGGCGAAGGCGGCCACCUGGACGAAUACUGACGCUGAGGUGCGAAAGCGUGGGGAGCAAACAGG
rnacentral:rRNA from 1 species